rnacentral:lncRNA from 1 species
AGAACCCACGACAUAUUAAGGAUCCUCGUCUUUCCUAUGAAGAUACUGAGGAGCAAUUUGUGACUUGACCAAGCUCACACACUUAGUGUGAUCCUUGUCUUCUUUCUCUGAAUUCAAGCUCUAUCAAGGACACCUGGUCUGUGAAUGUCCCUGUUUCAAGAAUGUAUCUUCAGUGCUGAAGUCACCAGGCUGGGCACCUGUUGUGCAGAGGGCCGUGAUAGGGAGGAGGCAGGGGAUUCACAGCCCUGGGAACAGCGCUCCUCAGGUAAGCUCUGAAUGUGUCUUCCUUAGGUGGAGGAAGAAGGAGCAGUGGUUGGAGCCCUGAGUUACUGUACCUGCAGGCUCUGCGGACUGCUCCUACCCCUCUUCUCCCAUUGUGUUCUUUUGUCUGAGAGAUCAGUCAUGCUUCCAAAGCUGAGAUUCUGCCCAAGGAAGGAACAAUAGAAACUGGACUAAGAGGAACCUUGUGUGCAUGCACGUGUGUGUGUGUGUGUGUGUGUGUCCCCACACAGGCUGCCCAAUCUGAUUGGCGCUCCAAGGCUGCCCAUCAGGACCCAGCCCACCCUCUCAGGAUGCCUGGGGCUUGUCACGCAGCCCACGUCGGGGAACAGACAUCCUGGUUCCCACUCACCUCCCUGGAGCCCGUGACCUGGGCUAGCCUACGGUGUUUGGGACGCUGCACAUCCGGACUCAUGUUAUCUCAGGAUCCUGGGACUCCUUGGCUCCCCUGUCCUGCCUCCUCCCCUCUCUGUGGACACGUAGCCACCACACACUUCUCGGAGGGCUAUUUCUAGCUGAGGGGCCGGUAAUUCAGCCCCAGCCUGUCAGCUCAGGCCGUCUGUGUGCCGCAGCUGGGACGGGCGGCCUGACACGUUGUGGGUUCAGCAGAGUGCAGGAUGUUGGGGCUUCCGGGGGCAGGCACCCCCUCGGCCUGCUGGAGGUCAGAGUUGCUGAGAUGUGGGGGUGGGGAACAGACAGGAUGC